UACCGUCUUAGAACUGGGAAUCUGUCCUUUUGUUUCUAAGAUCGGCUUUGGCACAGCUAAGAAAACUCUUUAUUAGUAAUGGAGUACAUGAAAGAGCCUGCAACAAGCAGCCAGGGCAACAUGUACGACUUAUCGAUGCAGGCUUUGUCUGGACUGAGCCUCAUUCAAAGAGGCUAAA